rnacentral:snRNA from 1 species
AGCUUUGUGCAGUGACAUUAGCUAGCCUAGCCAAUGAGAUUUAUCCAAGUUGUGAUUAUUGCUAAUUGAAAACUUUUCCCAAUACUGUCAUGACGACUUGAAAUAAGUCGGCAUUGGCAAUUUUUAACAGUUUCUUUGGAGA